AAUAGGAGCACGACAAAUCAAAAUUUUCCUCCUGGUUUUCAAUUUUUUCCUCCUAAAAAAAUUUAAAUCCAACUAAAAAUGCUAAAAAUCAGGAGGAAAAAUCUGAUUUAUCAUGCUCCUAUU
rfam:Gossypium raimondii Chr12_contig_195, whole genome shotgun sequence.